rnacentral:rRNA from 1 species
GAUGAACGCUGGCGGCGUGCUUAACACAUGCAAGUCGAACGGAAAGGCCGAAGCUUGCUUCGGUACUCGAGUGGCGAACGGGUGAGUAACACGUGGGUGAUCUGCCCUGUACUUCGGGAUAAGCUUGGGAAACUGGGUCUAAUACCGGAUAUGACGAUCUCUUGGAUGGGGUUGUGGAAAGCUUUUGCGGUAUGGGAUGAGCUCGCGGCCUAUCAGCUUGUUGGUGGGGUAAUGGCCUACCAAGGCGUCGACGGGUAGCCGGCCUGAGAGGGUGUACGGCCACAUUGGGACUGAGAUACGGCCCAGACUCCUACGGGAGGCAGCAGUGGGGAAUAUUGCACAAUGGGCGCAAGCCUGAUGCAGCGACGCCGCGUGGGGGAUGACGGCCUUCGGGUUGUAAACUCCUUUCGCAAUCGACGAAGCCUUUUGGUGACGGUAGGUUGAGAAGAAGCACCGGCUAACUACGUGC